rnacentral:misc_RNA from 1 species
UGGAGAGGUGCCAUCCUGCGUGUGAACCCUUCACUGAAGAGAGAAUACAGCAAACCGACCAAACGCGGCUACCCGUGCCGUCGUUCAGACCCUCAACAAAUCCCUCUCUCUCUCGUCUGGCCUCGUUCCGGUCGUUCUUCGGACAGAGAAAGACGCGCGCGCGACCACUUUGGGCGCAUUUAAGCUCUCUGACCGAGGCUGAGUGUAUGUAUGUAUGGGUGUGUGCUCUUGUUGCCUUCAACUCGUUCGGCUUCUCAUCGUCAAAAAGAGGCAAGCGGUGCUCUCACCAACUGCCCUUUCCUUUUCCUUUUCCUUACAUCUUCUACAGUGUAGAGCAACGGUGUACAAAGGCAAGCAAGACACAGCCAUACAGAUGCCCGCACCAUCUACCGUGGACGAUCCAACAUCGUCGACUCAUGCCUUCUGCAUCGUUUGACAAUAUUACCCCUGACCCCAUCUUUGUGCCCGUCUCACCUUCUGCGACUCCUCCUUGGGCCUCCUUCUUGGGCAAAGCUUCUUGUCACUCGUCCCAUAGUGGGAGUGGCAUUUCCUUUGCCACCGUAUCAUCUUCAUCUUGGCGGCGUUUUCGUCUCUAAUGACGGGCGUGUAUGAUCCCUGAUGAUAUUUUUCGUGUCGAGUGCCUCUUCAGGCACCCACUGCUUGCCUCGACCAUGUGUUUGCCUCGUACCCCCACAUGCAAAUCUAUGUAUUUAUGUCUACAGAUGUACGCAUACCUCUUCCCCUGUCCGCCUUUUUUUUUCGAAAG